GUUGCGCACUCUUCGCUCCUGCGCACGUGGGAAGAGCUGGAGGAGAUAUUGGUAUCAGUCCUUGCAAAGGGCUGGUUCUGUUAUUUUGAAAUCGUUUUAAAACUGCGCUUGGCUGAGGGACGGAUCCCGACAGCUAACUUCAGCAGGCUGGCCAAACAGACCUAAGGAACCCCCCUCGGCAGGAAGCUAUGCUGGGCUACUUUACCUUUAACAGCAGCACAACAGGAAGUAUCUAACAGUAUCAUAUUUAUCAUCACUUAAAGACGAUUUCUUAAAUUAAAACUUGUCUUCUGCAUAAGGAUGUUAGCCGUGUAUCGAAGGAGGAUCAUCUAGAGGUAAACAAAAAAACAACACAAUUUUUGUAUUUUGUUUUGCUGAGUGUUGAAGCCACACUCUUUCCUCAUGUGUUAACUGUGUUGACAAAAAAGGCCUACGAUUUGC